rnacentral:rRNA from 1 species
GCACCACAAGAACGCGUGGAGCAUGUGGCUUAAUUUGACUCAACGCGGGAAAUCUUACCGGGUCCGGACACACUGAGGAUUGACAGGCAAUAUAUUAGCAUAAAGACUCGUCUUUAGCGCUAAUUGUUAAAUAUGCUAGUCCUUUCAUGAUUAUGUGAUAGGUGGUGCAUGGCCGUUCUUAGUUCGUGGAGUGAUCUGUCUGCUUAAUUGCGUUUCACUAAGGGCCCAUAAAUUCAAGGUAUGUUAGCAAAUGCUGCUCUAUUGACCCCUAAUAGGCUUAACUGUCUUUAGCGCGUGUCUCUACGAGUUCUUUAAAGCACUGCGCAUGCUGUUGGGUCCUGAAAGCAACGAACGUGACCGCAACGUCUUGUUGCCUCUCUAUAAUACCUUCUUAUUUUUAAUAAGAGUAUUUACCUGAGGCUAUUUUAAAACUAGACGGACCGCUGUUUCUUUCUUAAACCAGAGGAAGGUUGC